rnacentral:rRNA from 1 species
UACGUAGGGUGCGAGCGUUGUCCGGAAUUAUUGGGCGUAAAGAGCUCGUAGGCGGUCUGUCGCGUCUGCUGUGAAAACUCAGGGCUUAACCCUGAGCUUGCAGUGGGUACGGGCAGACUAGAGUGCGGUAGGGGAGACUGGAAUUCCUGGUGUAGCGGUGAAAUGCGCAGAUAUCAGGAAGAACACCCGUGGCGAAGGCGGCUCUCUGGGACGGUACUGACGCUGAGACGCGAAAGCGUGGGGAGCGAACAGG